GACGAACGCUGGCGGCACGCCUAACACAUGCAAGUCGAACGAACGAGAGAGAAGCUUGCUUUUCUCAAGUUAGUGGCGGACGGGUGAGUAACACGUGAGCAACCUGCCUUUAAGAGGGGGAUAGCUUCUGGAAACGGAUGGGUAAUACCCCAUAACAUAUCGCUACCGCAUGAUAGUGAUAUCAAACGAAUUUCGCUUAGAGAUAGGGCUCGCGUCUGAUUAGAUAGUUGGUGAGGUAACGGCUCACCAAGUCGACGAUCAGUAGCCGGACUGAGAGGUUGAACGGCCACAUUGGGACUGAGACACGGGCCCAG
rnacentral:rRNA from 1 species